UACGUAGGGGGCAAGCGUUGUCCGGAAUUAUUGGGCGUAAAGAGCGUGUAGGCGGUCCGGUAAGUCAGCUGUGAAAGUCAAGGGCUCAACCCUUGAAAGCCGGUUGAUACUGUCGGGCUAGAGUCCGGAAGAGGCGAGUGGAAUUCCCGGUGUAGCGGUGAAAUGCGCAGAUAUCGGGAGGAACACCCGUAGCGAAGGCGGCACUCUGGGCCGAUACUGACACUGAGGAGCGAAAGCGUGGGGAGCGAACAGG
rnacentral:rRNA from 1 species